rnacentral:rRNA from 1 species
AUGGAUGCUGAAGCUGCCGUUCAGCAGCUGCGUCGUGUACCGGCGGGAGAUGGACAGGCGCGGCGUCCGGUACCGGCCGAGCGACGCUUGCACGGCCGAUGCGCUGGGGUCCAGCCAGAGGUGCAGGUUGGCGUCCACGAGCCACUCGGCGAUGCCGUCCACCACGCUGAUGCCGAACUCGUGGGCCUUGCCGUCGACGAGGAGGCCGAGGAACGGGGUGAGCUCGAUGUCGUAGGUGGGCAGGUCGAACGCGCCGAGCGCGGACACGGGCUGCCAGUAGAGCGGGUUAAUGCCUCCCGUGUAAAUGACGGGGAACGGCACGAACGAGCCGGCGAAGUGGUGGUCCACGCUGACGACGACCUCGCGGUACGCGGCGUUGCCCCUCUGCGUGGUGAGGUUGUUCUCCUGGAUGUAGAGGUCCGGCGGGUUGGAGUACCAGAACUCGUCGUUGGAGUGAGGGGACACGAACACCUCCAGGACCGCACGGUAGGUGCUCGACGGAAUGGUCACGAGCUUGGACCGCGAGUCGGACGAGUUCUGGAUGCGGAACCAGUAGCCGUUGUCGCGGGUGGCCUCCGAGAUCGGCAGGAUCAGGUCGGCCGGCUGGAAGUACGACUCCGGCAGCGUCGGCGUCGCGGGGCUGGGGUCGGCGACACCGACAUCGGGGGAUGGGGAAUUUACCCCGGAGAGGUAAGCCGGAGUCCCGUGAAACUCGAGGGAGAUAGUGACGUUGUAGACGCCGGUGUACUGGUCGUUGACGAGGUUCUCGAGCAUGACCGAGAGGACGCCGUCGGGCGGGGAGCGGAGGAGGGCGGAGUAGCGGGUGACCUCCUUGCGCACGGUCCAGCUGACGCCCUCCGGGGUGGGCUCGGCGGUGGUGGUGCGGAGGAGCUCGGAACCGUCGAGCCAGACGGCGGCGACGCGGUCGUACUGGUCGCCGGCGCAGGCGGCGGAGAAGGAGAGCACGACCUGGGACCAGGGCGCGGGGCACCCGGGCGGGGGCGCGUAGGCGGCCUUGGCCGGGGGCGCGCCGUAGGUGUUGGCGAAGGAGUAGGAGAGCACCGGCACGGUGCAGGUCGGCGCGGCGGGGGGCGGGCCCGGGAGCGGGUAGGUGGGGUCGACGUACUCCUGGGCCGCCGCAUUGCCGUUGGCGCCCGUGGCCAGCGGCGCGUAGCGGACGGCGUAGCGGUCGGGGGACUCGGCAAGAGCCGGGCCGAGGAGGUGGAGGAGCGGGAGGAGGAGGAGGAAAGCCAGCGGCGGCAUCUUGCGCUGCGACGGGGGAAAGGUCGCUGGCUCGCUGAUGAGUGCUGA